rnacentral:lncRNA from 1 species
GGGUCAUUGCCUCUCCAUCCAAGAGAAUGGCAAGAAGGGCCAUUGCAUUAGGGAAGAGAGUAGAUUUUACAUUCUUUGAGAAAUACCAUUUCUUAAUUGGAACAUGGCUUGACAGAAUGGGGUAAAAGAAUUUUUGCUGCUUAAAUAUCCCUAUGUACCUUAAGUUGAUUAGGAAGUUUUAUACAAAUCUGAGGAGAGGAGUAGCUGAGGUAACUACUAUCGUGAAGGGAGUUCAUUUCGAUGUUUUUGAGGAAAGCCUAGCUAGAGUCUUUGAUUUACCCCUAAGAGGUGCUGUCCCCAAGAG